rnacentral:rRNA from 1 species
AUAUUAUUAAGCGGAGGAAAAGAAACUAACUAGGAUUCCCCUAGUAAUGGCGAAUGAACGGGGAAAAGCCCAGCGCCGAAUCUCUUGGCCUAUGGUCACUGAGAAAUGUGGCGUAUAGCUGUAGCUGUCCGGCUUCAUCGCAUACCCAAAGUCCCUUUGACUAGGGCUACAGUCCUGAGAAGGUGCAAGUCCUGUACGGGUAGCGAUGGUGUCGGUUGGUUGCAGUUUGGAGUCGGGUUGCCUGAGAUCGCAGCCCAAAGAGGGUGGUAAACCUCAUCUAAGGCUAAUAC